CUCACAUGUAUAGAAAGGGCAGGACGUUGCCCAUCAGUCAGUGAGAUGCAAGAACAAAAUCAAAUGAGAGCCCAGUUGUGGAGCAGAAUCAAACGAACAGUGGGGCCAGUGUCCUUGCUCCCAGGUGGAACAAGAUGAAUCCUUGGAGGCUGUCUUGUUGGACUAUGUAGAAAAAAAGAAACCAUUGUUGGCAUUCACAGAGCAGUUGCAGAGGAUGGAGUGCUGGUUCUGGGUCCAAGAAAUAAGCACUGACUGGUGAGAUUGCAUCAUUAUGUACAUAUGAGCAUUGGCUGAAGAACUUUUGGAUGCACAAGGCACAUUCCUGGAAGCGUAAGAAUGGAGCUUGCUCCAGGCCUCUGGUGCAGUGACACCAAAACAAAAGCUGCACUGACAUUGGAGAAGCGAGUGGUGCUCACUACAUGGAAGCUUUCAAUGCCAGAUUGCUACCGACUAGUCUGGAAUCAGUUUGGAGUCAUGAAAUCCACCAUGGGGGUUGCUGUGAGGGCCACUAAUUGCACUCUGCUAUGAAGGAUUGAGACUCUGGGCAGUGUGCAAAACAUAGUGGAUUGUUCUGCAGCAAUAGGAUUGAAUUGAUGUCAGAGCUAGCCAGCAUAUAUUGUGAACUAAUAAAGAUGAAUUAAGUUUCCAUGAAUAGACUUAUU